rnacentral:SRP_RNA from 2 species
GUGCGGGCUAGCCUGGAGGGUUAGGCGUCCUCUGCAACUCGAAACCGCCGAGACGCGAGGGGCGAAGCUCGAGGAAGGGACCGUAGCUGGCAGUUUCAGCUCGGAGUCCAACGAAGAAGCACCGUCCUGCGGGGUCGUCGGUGGCGCGGAGGCACGCUGGAGGGUUUGUCACCGCACCUUUGUCGCGGACACCGGUUUAGGCCCGGAAGGGAGCGGACUCACUGCGGACGCUCGGCGCUCGCAGGGUAGCGGUGCAGAGGACGGCUUUGAGGGUCUGGCUGGCAGCGAAAGCCUCGACCGAGAGCGUGCCCGCAC